CACGUAGGGUGCGAGCGUUGUCCGGAAUUAUUGGGCGUAAAGAGCUCGUAGGCGGUGUGUCGCGUCGGCCGUGAAAACCUGCAGCUUAACUGUGGGCUUGCGGUCGAUACGGGCAUCACUGGAGUUCGGCAGGGGAGACUGGAAUUCCUGGUGUAGCGGUGAAAUGCGCAGAUAUCGGAAGGAACACCAGUGGCGAAAGCGGCUUCCUGGUCCAGCACCGACGUCAGGCACGAAAGCGUGGGGAGCAAACAGG
rnacentral:rRNA from 1 species